GUUUUGGAGUGCAGGCGUGAAUAGUCCUUUCUGUCCUGCUUUGAGUACUGCUGUUGGGUGCCUUGGGGGGACCUUAAGGGAGCUCGGAAGUUGAGACGUGGUGAGUGCGAGAUCACUGCCCACAAAGGGGAGGAGCAGGCGGAUGAACAGCCAGAGCUGCAAUGGUGGAUCCUCCUCCAGGGCUGCAUGGGACGACAGAUAGAUGAGGCUCUAGGACGGGCACAAAUGCUACCCGAAUGCAAACCACUCCGGAGAUCUGUAAAAGGACUGGCCCCGGACAGGAAGCACACUUUAAACUAGAGGCGGGAGUCAAAGCCCCGGUGAAGAUUCUGUGACGGUUCAUUGUAUAAUUUAUGAUGAUGAAGAUUGAGUUGCAUUUUGCGGAAAAGAGAUGUUGAGAUAUCUAAGGCAUUGAGAAAUCUGUCAUGCAGACAUGCACACAGGGAGAGGGAGUACCCAAACUGAUGAGAACUUACAGGAAUUGGACCAUCUAAGCCCUUAGAAAGUGAAGUCCACUGUGUCUCAAACAAAGAUCUUCAUCCACAUCUUGAAGUUUGAAGUUUGGCCAAGAAUAUACAGAGUAGAUUCUCUUUCUCAGGAUGGCAAGUGUUCAUGACAUCAAUACUACCCAAGGCUUCAGAGUCAUUGGAUUGCAGGAUGCAGUGACUUAUGAUGAUGUGAGUGUGAACUUCACUGAGGAAGAGUGGGAUUUGCUGGAUCCUUCCCAGAAAAGUCUCUAUGAAGAGGUGAUGCUGGAGACCUACCAGAACAUCACUGCUAUAGGUAAGUGAAUUUCCUCUUGCUUUUCUGAAUAAGGGCAGGCUUGAAUGUUUCUCCGUGUCUUCUUUGAGCGCUGCUAUUGGGUGCUGUGAGGGGACGUCAAGUAAGCUCCGUUUUUGAAACAUG
rnacentral:lncRNA from 1 species